rnacentral:rRNA from 1 species
UGGGGAAUUUUGGACAAUGGGGGAAACCCUGAUCCAGCCAUCCCGCGUGUGCGAUGAAGGCCUUCGGGUUGUAAAGCACUUUUGGCAGGAAAGAAACGUCAUGGGUUAAUACCCCGUGAAACUGACGGUACCUGCAGAAUAAGCACCGGCUAACUACGUGCCAGCAGCCGCGGUAAUACGUAGGGUGCAAGCGUUAAUCGGAAUUACUGGGCGUAAAGCGUGCGCAGGCGGUUCGGAAAGAAAGAUGUGAAAUCCCAGAGCUCAACUUUGGAACUGCAUUUUUAACUACCGGGCUAGAGUGUGUCAGAGGGGGGUGGAAUUCCGCGUGUAGCAGUGAAAUGCGUAGAUGUGCGGAGGAACACCGAUGGCGAAGGCAGCCUCCUGGGAUAACACUGACGCUCAUGCACGAAAGCGUGGGGAGCAAACAGG